rnacentral:rRNA from 1 species
AACGAACGCUAGCGGCAGGCCUAACACAUGCAAGUCGAGCGCCCCGCAAGGGGAGCGGCGGACGGGUGAGUAACGCGUGGGAACGUGCCCUUUGCUACGGAAUAGCCCCGGGAAACUGGGAGUAAUACCGUAUAAGCCCUACGGGGGAAAGAUUUAUCGGCAAAGGAUCGGCCCGCGUUGGAUUAGGUAGUUGGUGGGGUAAUGGCCUACCAAGCCGACGAUCCAUAGCUGGUUUGAGAGGAUGAUCAGCCACACUGGGACUGAGACACGGCCCAUACUCCUACGGAAGGCAGCAGUGGGGAAUAUUAGACAAUUGGCGCAGGCCUGAUCGAGCCAUGCCUCGUGGGCAAUGAAGGCCUUAGGGUUGUAAAGCUCUUUCGUGAGGGAAGAUAAUGACUGUACCCCAAGAAGAAGCCCCGGGUAACUCCGUGCCAGCCGCCGCAGUAAAAC